GAUGAACGCUAGCGGGAGGCUUAACACAUGCAAGCCGAGGGGUAUAGUUCUUUCGGGAACUAGAGACCGGCGCACGGGUGCGUAACGCGUAUGCAACUUGCCCUACUGAAAAGGAUAGCCCUUCGAAAGGAGGAUUAAUACUUUAUAACAGAUUUAAUGGCAUCAUUAGAUUUUGAAAGAUUUAUCGCAGUAGGAUAGGCAUGCGUAAGAUUAGUUAGUUGGUGAGGUAACGGCUCACCAAGACGAUGAUCUUUAGGGGGCCUGAGAGGGUGAACCCCCACACUGGUACUGAGACACGGACCAGACUCCUACGGGAGGCAGCAGUGAGGAAUAUUGGACAAGGGGUGGAAGCCUGAUCCAGCCAUCCCGCGUGUAGGAUGACGGCCUUAUGGGUUGUAAACUACUUUUAUCUGGGGAUAAACCUACUUACGUGUAAGUAGCUGAAGGUACCAGAAGAAUAAGCACCGGCUAACUCCGUG
rnacentral:rRNA from 1 species